GCGAAACCGGGAGGAGGCUCUGUGCCAGCAGGAGACCCGCCGCCAUCUCAGGUCUCUCGGCCUUGCCUGGCCCCACCUGAGAGCACUGAAGCCUGAAUAUUAUAAUCCUUAUGGGGGACCAACCUUGUACCUCCGGGAGAUCCACGCUCUCUCCUGGGAGCUCUAGGGAAUCCAAGCCACCCAAAAAACGCUGCCUCCUAGCUCCGCGGUGGGAUUAUCCAGAAGGAACACCCAACGGAGGUAGUACCCCUCUCCCCUCAGCACCUCCUCCUGCAUCUUCAGGCCUGAAGUCGCAUCCUCCUCCCCCGGAGAAGUAGUAGGAUAUUCUUCUUACACUCCGAACCAGUCUUUGAGAGAUUGCAGUAUGACUCCAUUUCCUUGUGCAUUCAUAAAAUAGUUCAUCCAGUGAAGACAGUGAUUACUGACAGUGCCACCCUGCUUUUUCUGAUAUUCUGCACCUGGAAGUUGUGAUAUUUAAGGACAGACAGAAAUUGAGAUGGAAAGGAAAGGUAGAUGGAGAAGAGAAAGAGAGACACCUGCAUUGGUUUACUGCUUGUGAAGUUUCCCCCAUGCAGAUGGGGAACAAGGACUUAAACCCAGGUCUUAGCUUAUAGUGAUAUCCACCACCACCUUGUACCCCUUCAAUUUUCUUUUCUAAAUAAUUUAUAGCCAUAAUUUAUAUCUGCUGUAUAUAAAACUUGCAGAUAUUUUUGUUAUCAUUUGAUUAAUAAUUUAUCAUUUUUCAUGAUUUUUAAAGAUUUAUUUCAUAUAAUAUAUAGAGUAAGAGAUUCACAUGAAAACAAGAGAAGUCACAAUUCAAGUACAUGUGGUGUCAGGACUUGAACUGGGAAGCUCAGGCAUGCAAGUGCUGUAAUCUGUCACUUGAACUAGCUCCUUGGCCACUCUUA